rnacentral:lncRNA from 1 species
CGAAUCGUUGUCCUCGAGUUCGUGCACUUCAGGAAGAAGACGGCUCGAGGUGAGACGUCACGCAUCCGUCGUGCGGAGGUAGAGGUGAGCGCCUCUCCACUUCCCCCAUUUCCUCCGUCUCUCUCUGGUCUGAUCCUUUUUAUUUUGCAGCUUGACAUAUAGGUUAGUGUGUGUGUGUGUGUGCAGCAGCUCUAGAGGGACCAAGGUCGAGGUAGACACUGCUCCUAUCGAGGCUAGCCUGCCGUAGGGACGAAUCAGGUCCCUAGACCCUUAUGAGCCCUAAUUUUCAUGGAGCAAGGUGCAUCUUGCCGCUUUUGCUUUUGGUAAAAAGGAAUCCCUAUUGUUAUGUUGGUAGCCUCUUUGCAAGUUUAUUCUGCCUUUUUGACAUUUUUUGUUCUAUCUUGCUAUGCAUUGUAUCAUAUUACAGUUGUGUGCUCAAACCAACUGAGCUUAAUUCACAUAUAUAGAUAUUUAAGAAUGUGGGGAUGAUGCCCAAUUGGCAAGGUUUGCAAUAUUGUAGGAACCAUUUGGAGAUGGGUUGUAGAUAUUAAGCUAUGUAGGAGAUGAUUUUGAGGUAACAAGCCUUCAGCUUGCUUUCUGUUAACCUUUGUAUGCAUGGGUUCAGUUUGAUGCAAUCUAGGCAUUGUUUGUUGUCGAAUGGAUUAUUUUUUCCUGCUAGGUAACAUCUGAUGCUUGGAAUGCAUUAUUUCUGAUGGCCCAGAAAAAAACUCUUUGUACAUAUUUUUUUGUUUAUAUGCAUACAAGAUGCAUGUUUAUGCCUCAUACCUGCUGAUUUAUAUGACUGAGGAACUCUCUUUCUUCCUAGAUGUGUCCAUAUGCUCUUCAUUGAUAUAACAUCUUCUUACUUGUAUAUUAUUCACAUAUAGCAUCUCAUUUCUUGGUUGAUUGCUUAUAUAUAUAUAUUCAACUUCUCUUUCCUGGCAUUCACAUAUUACAAGCUAAAUAAAGUUUUCCAUUCCUUCUGGCCACUUAUAGAUGUAACUAGAAGCAUGGAUGAUCUGUGAUGCUGGCAAUUUUCAGAUUGCACCCAUUUAAUUAUAGCACAAUAUAUCACAUUUGUGGUAAAUUUAGAAAAGCUUGUGCGUACCCUUUUAGUAGUCAAUAUGGUUCAGAUGCAGUAUUUUUUAUUUCCUUUUUUGCUUUCAGCACACACAUAUGGCAUUGAAGUUCUUUAUCAUGUAUGUAGGCAGAUUAGUUGUGUCACUUACUGAUGCUCUUAUGGUACAGUACACUAUUAGGGUGUUGGGCCCAGAAAAAGGAAGAGUAAUCCUCUUCCAAGGUUAAUUUUGUGCCUACUUCUUUAUGUACAUAACUCAUGAUUUGACAAAUAGUUAAGUUCCCUAUAGUUUAGUAUUUCUUUCUCUUUCUCUUUCCUAUUUAUGGUUCUGGAACAAAACUUCCAUCCUUUUCUACAAAAUUAGAAGAGAAAAAAAAUGUUGACAGAUGAUUAUGAUUGCUUAUUUAUUUUCUUGGUGUUAGAUUACUAAUGUUGAGAACUAUAAUUUUUAUUGAUGGUCGCUCGAUGGCGCUGAGCACCAUGUGAGGUCAUUAUAAUUCAUAUAUGAGUCAACAUCUUCUUCCGCUGCUAAUUAGCAGUGUUUGGUCUAUUUAAUUUCAAACAUAUCUAUUAUUCGCCAAGGCUCCUGCCUACUUCCAUAAUGAUGCUAUCCCAUAAUUAGAUUGGUGUCUAAAACUGAGCCCCCUCUUAACUCCAUUUCUCUGCAGUAAAUGAAGCCCAUAGGUGGAGGGAUUUGGAUGAUCUGUAGUCAAAGGAUACCAUCAAGCAAGCGGACGCACAAGGAGGGUCGCCCCGGAGUAGAGGUAGAGGACGUUGCCAGCUGCAUCUCUCUCUGACCUAAAGCCCACCUUGGCAUGGAUGUGAUCAGCGUUGAUCCCCAACAUUGGCAAGCAUUGUAAGUUCCCUCUUCUUAUGUUUCUGGUAUAAAUAUACCACAUAUAUGUUCAUAUGCAGAAGAUAAAGAUAGACUAUUAUCGGCGGUUAUUUUACUUAGUUGUAGAUACUGAAUAGUUUGUUUAAAUUAUGAUAGUUUAAAAGAAGUAUUAUGGUGUAGUGCAAUAAUAAUUUUAAUUUAAAAUUGCUGACCUUGCAUCAUAUUUUUGUUGUGUAUGUGGGCAGUGUGUUCAAGUUGAUCUGGAACAAUUUGAAGGGUUUCCUCGACACAAAAUCUUAAGCCAAGGUUUACUUAAGCACCUCGAAUUAAACGUGUAGAAGUUUAAAAUUGUAAUGUUUCAGGUUCUUUGCCACAUUAUGUAUGUUUUGUUAUUUUUUUUAAUAAUUGGACCUAUUUGCUAUGUGGAACAUGUAGCAUUUACUUGAUCAUAAUCUAAUUCAAUUUUUGACCACCGUCUUUUUGGCUCUUGGUUUCAACAUUUGCAGUAUCGGUUAGUCAUUGUCUUGACACGACAUUUUAGGCAACGACUCCAACUUCUUGAGCCAUUCUCUAUAUAUGAAUGAGCCUCGCCGUUAAAUAAACGAACAAUGUUUCCUCCAUAUAUGAAUGACACAAUGACACUAUGGAUUUUCCAGUCAACUGAUCAUCCUAAUCCUCAUCCUGUAUUCAAUACAUUUAUGUUCCAUUGCUAACUAACGUUCAUUUGUGAUGUCUUCCUCAGGAUGGAAAUGUUCCUCGACACAAUGACGAACAUCAACGUAGGAACAACCUUUUUAUUUUAUUUUUUGUUGCCUCUACUGUAUUGUUAUUGCCACAAAGAUUUACCUGGACACAGAGCCAUCAUGAUGUGUUUAAAAAUGGUUACAUUAUCCUUUUUCUAACCUGACGGUGUUAGAAACAUCUUAGCAUUCAAGCAGGUUUAGUUCAUUGUUUAUUAAUUCCAAUUAUGUAAAAAAAUCACUGAUUAUCGCUUGACAGAAAAUAUUUUGAUAUGCCAUCAUGUGCAUGGGCGAAGAACCUGGAUGUUAUUUACAUGUUUUGGAUAAUUGAUGAUUCUUUU